CCUACGGGUGGCAGCAGUGGGGAAUAUUGCACAAUGGGGGAAACCCUGAUGCAGCGACGCCGCGUGAGUGAAGAAGGAUCUCGGGACGUAAAGCUCUAUCAGCAGGGAAGAAAAGGACGGUACCUGACUAAGAAGCCCCGGCUAACGACGUGCCAGCAGCCGCGGUAAUACGGAGGGGGCAAGUGUUCUCCGGAUUUACGGGGUGUAAAGGGAGCGUAGACGGCAGCACAAGUCUGGAGUGACAUCCCGGGGCUUAACCCCGGAACGGCUUUGGAAACUGUGCGGCUGGAGUGCAGGAGGGGUAAGCGGAAUUCCUCGUGUAGCGGUGACAUGCGUAGAUAUUAGGC
rnacentral:rRNA from 1 species